AACGCGAAGAACCUUACCUGGGUUUGACAUGCACAGGACGCUGGUAGAGAUAUCAGUUCCCUUGUGGUCUGUGUGCAGGUGGUGCAUGGCUGUCGUCAGCUCGUGUCGUGAGAUGUUGGGUUAAGUCCCGCAACGAGCGCAACCCUUGUCUCAUGUUGCCAGCGGGUAAUGCCGGGGACUCGUGAGAGACUGCCGGGGUCAACUCGGAGGAAGGUGGGGACGACGUCAAGUCAUCAUGCCCCUUACGUCCAGGGCUGCACACAUGCUACAAUGGCCGGUACAAAGGGCUGCUAUCCCGCGAGGGUGAGCGAAUCCCAAAAAGCCGGUCUCAGUUCGGAUCGCAGUCUGCAACUCGACUGCGUGAAGUCGGAGUCGCUAGUAAUCCCGGAUCAGCAACGCCGGGGUGAAUACGUUCCCGGGCCUUGUACACACCGAGACGAC
rnacentral:rRNA from 1 species